rnacentral:rRNA from 1 species
AUACGUAGGGGACGAGCGUUGUCCGGAAUUACUGGGCGUAAAGGGCGCGCAGGCGGAUAUUUAAGUCAGCUGUAAAAGGCAUGAGCUCAACUCAUGUAUGCGGUUGAAACUGGGUAUCUAGAGUGCUGGAGAGGUAGGCGGAAUUCCCGGUGUAGCGGUGAAAUGCGUAGAUAUCGGGAAGAACACCAGUGGCGAAGGCGGCUUACUGGCCAGCAACUGACGCUGAGGCGCGAAAGCCAGGGGAGCGAACGGGAUUAGAUACCCCGGUAGUCGUGGCCGUAAACGAUGAAUGCUAGGUGUGGGUGUCGAGAGGCAUCCGUGCCGGAGUUAACGCGAUAAGCAUUCCGCCUGGGGAGUACGAUCGCAAGAUUGAAACUCAAAUGAAUUGACGGGU